AGCACGUGGUCACCCUCGCGGGUCCCUACAGUCUUCUGGAGUGGGUUGUUCUGGGUUAGGAACCAGAUGGCCUCUUGACCCUGAUUUCAGUAAUGCCAUGAAAGGAAACCCAAGGGGAACAUGAAGGAGAACUGAUUUUCCUUUUCAUUACUGGCUGCCUCACUUCUUCUCAGGCCUGCACUUACCUUUAUUUUCCUGCCUGCCUUCCUGGAGGGCAGUGAGACGCAGACCCAGAUCCUUCAUACAGGGGAGCGGGAAGAGAGGGAGGAAGAGGCUGCCCAUCAACAUUGCCACCAUGGCAGCCUCCUGCCCCUGAGAAAGUGGAAAUGCCCAGAUCCUGUGCCCAUUUGGCAAAGGAAUGGGUCUCAGAAGAAGCAUGUGGUCUCAUGGAAAUUACAGAGCUCAACUGGAUCUGCAGAAAGGGCUCUGGGCCGGCUGUUAAAAUGAAAAGAUUCCAUUUGUGGAAGGGCAGCGGUGGGUGGGCCAAAUUCCCAUGAGGCUUUGAAGAUGCUCCUGGGCAUCAGCCGGCUUCCAGCCUCCUCCCUCCUCACUCCCACUGCUUCCAACUGCUGGUCCCACUCAGAGGAAAAGUGGCCACAGGACACAGCCCUUCCUGGUAGCUCCAAGGGAAUAGGUAAAUAAACAGAAAUAAGACAAACAAAAAUAAGAGUGUAACUUACAAAGCGUGUGUUCCCAGGGAGAAGAAUCCAGAGAAAACACAAAAAGUUGUCUAGAAGCCACAGCCUAGAUGCUAAAGAAGUGCUGUCUUCAACCCUGUAGAAACUGAUACUCCACCCGCUUGUUCUUUCUGCUUCUAGUCCUGUGACCCCAGGAACCAUCCUCUUUCCCUAGGACUAUCAGCCAGCUUCUCUCCUCUGUCGCCUCCAACCUGCCCUCUUCCCGCUCCACCCAGCACACCUGCAGGCAGGAGUGAGAAUCGUUGCUAUGUGGAGUGGGCAAGUGUCUUGACCACUGUCCUUCCCAUUUACAUCAUGUCUGUCCUAGGGGUAAUAACAAUACUCACCUCACUGGGUGUGCUGAAGGUUAAAUGAGAAAAUGUAUGCAUCCAGCACAGAAAGCAUAAUGUUUUCUUUUCUUUCUUCCACAUUAAGGGCUCAGAAAUUUCUAACACUUUACAAGAGGGAGGAGUGAACAGCAAGUGGUUUGGAAAUCACAAAUUUAUAGGAGCUCAGCAAGUACUACUUAGGUCUAAGGGACACAGGGCAGGUUUGGAUUAAGAAAUGACACCAGUUUGGGGCCAGGCGUGGUGGCUCACGCCUGUAAUCCCAGCACUUUGGGAGGCCGAGGCAGGCGG
rnacentral:lncRNA from 1 species